rnacentral:rRNA from 1 species
UAGGUCCUCGGGGGGCAGCAGUGAGGAAUAUUGGUCAAUGGGCGGAAGCCUGAACCAGCCAAGUCGCGUGAGGGAAUAAGGCCCUACGGGUCGUAAACCUCUUUUGCCGGGGAGCAAGGGCCGGGACGCGUCCCGGCCCGGAGAGUACCCGGAGAAAAAGCAUCGGCUAACUCCGUGCCAGCAGCCGCGGUAAUACGGAGGAUGCGAGCGUUAUCCGGAUUUAUUGGGUUUAAAGGGUGCGUAGGCGGGCUUUUAAGUCAGCGGUAAAAAUUUGGGGCUCAACCCCGUCCGGCCGUUGAAACUGG